CGUGGGAUCCCGUUCCAUUGACACUUCCUGCCUAUUCCCCCCUCUCACUCUUGCUCACCGCUCCAUGCCGCUUUAUCUCCUUUGUCGCUCAAAAUCAUCGCAAAAAACCUAAACCUCAAACCAUCAAAUCCAUUUUCACAAUUUCUCUCAGAAUCGGCGCUUCUCUCUCGCUCACCGCUUCAUCGUCAACAAAUCUCAACCGUAGCCGCACUACAAGCCCAUCUGGAUGGAAAACCCAUGAAGAAAUCUUGGUCGUCGGUUGACAAUCGAACUGCAACAUCGUCUUGACUCACCUCAGUAUCAGCAGAUUCUAGCUUCAAACCCUCUCCGACCCUUCUACCCAAAAGCUUUCUCACCGAUUUGUCAUCAAAUCAUAUCAAGCUCCAUUCAUGUCCACUUCUAUUCAUAAAAGCCCGCCUUUUGUCAAUGGCGACAACGGAGGCUAGGCUUGGAGCUAAACCAGAACCAAAAGAAAUUGAAGAGAGUUCUGAACCUCUUCUCAAAUACAAGAUUUUGCAACAGCAAUUGCAUGUGAGGCAAGGAAGCCGUUGGUGAUAGAGAGGGUGAAGGUUGUUCCACCUAAUGCCAUGGAAAUGAGGGUAAAGGUCAAAAUAUACCUCAGUUUAUCACAUUGAACUCUACUUCUGCCGAAGGCACAUUUACUUCGAGUGAAUACAUUGGUGUUCAUUGUGGCCGUCUUUCCAAAAUUAAGCCCCUUGCUCAGUUGGACAAAGUUUGCAUCCUCAGUUGUGCCAUACCGACAAGUUUGAUGUCCUACUUCAAUGCUUUAGAGCCUUGAAUUAUGCAUCCUAAACUGACUACAUAUUGAUUCGUUUGCAUUAUACUGGAUAUUUUGUUUUUUAGUAUCAAGUUUGGGUACCCCUCUGAAUGUAGCUAAACGAAAAAUUAUCCUCAGUUGCUGUUUAUUGGCCUUGCUGUAAGUUUGGAGAAACUUUGUUGAUCCCAAAUUCUUUGUUCUAAUAAAUUGCGUUUAUUUUCUUUUCCGUAUUUAUACUGAUAGAUGCAUGAUCUAGGUCAUAACUAAAAAAUUUGGAGUAAAUGAUUUUGUGAAUUUGAGUGACAAUGACAAACCAGUGCACGAGAUGAUAAAUGAUUUGCUAUUGUUAUUAUGUGUUGGACAUGAGUCAACAUAGGUAGUUAAGUUAUAACUUCAACUUAUAUUUUUAUUUUCUUCUGCUUCUCAUCUACCCAAGUCUACAAUGUACAUGCAGCUAAGGAGAAGACCGAGACAUCAACCAGUGCAUAAGCUUCUGAUAAGACUAAUUGCAGAUAGCACUACAAAUGAGCACCACAAAUUUAAGCUUGAUGUUGUGUGAGAAAAUGGCUUCAAGAUUGGAAUUUCCAUCAUCUGGGAAAAGGAAAACAGGAAGAGAACACCAAUUGUGGUGACGAUGGAGAAUCCCUUCUUUACGGUGGAAAUCAACGAUCUAUGUGCAACAUUUAGCCCAGUUUAUAAGAGGAAGAACUAAUUACAUGGGUUUAUCAAGUUUUGUACUGAGGUAAAACUCCCCCCAUUUAACAUAGUUUUAAAUGCUGAUUAGUAUGUGUGUGUUUAGGCCCGAUUUUACACUAUCGGUUCGUGCGAUCAAAACCGUUGAUGAACAUGGCUCUCAACCGUUGGAUGACAGGAUAGUUGAGAUAAUUAUUAUUGAAAGAUACAUUGUGGUUUUAAUCAUGAUAUUAUCUUUUAAUGGUGAAUUAUGUUUUAAUUA